UACGGAGGGUGCGAGCGUUGUCCGGAAUCACUGGGCGUAAAGGGUGCGUAGGCGGGCAGGUAAGUCCGUGGUGAAAUCUCUGAGCUUAACUCAGAAACUGCCAUGGAUACUAUUUGUCUUGAAUAUUGUGGAGGUAAGCGGAAUAUGUCAUGUAGCGGUGAAAUGCUUAGAUAUGACAUAGAACACCAAUUGCGAAGGCAGCUUACUACACAGUCAUUGACGCUGAGGCACGAAAGCGUGGGGGAUCAAAACAGG
rnacentral:rRNA from 1 species